rnacentral:rRNA from 1 species
GAUGAACGCUGGCGGCGUGCCUAAUACAUGCAAGUCGAGCGAACAGACGAUGAUCUUGCUCCUUUGACGUUAGCGGCGGACGUGUGAGUAACACGUGUAUCACCUCCCUAUCAUACUGGUAUAACUUCGGGACACCGGCUCUAAUCCCGUAUAAUAUAUUGAUGCGCAUUGUUCAAUAGUGAAAUACGGUUUUGGUGUCACUUAUCGAUGGUUCGGCGCCGCAUUAGCUAGUUGGUAAGUUAACGGGCUAUCAAGGCAACGAUGCGUAGCCGAACGGAGAGGGGGAUCGGCCACACGGGAACUGAGACACGGUCCAGACUCCUACGGGAGGGAGCAGUAGGGAAUGUUACGCAAUGGGCGAAAGCCUGACGGAGCAACGCCGCGUGAGAGAUGAAGGUCUUCGGAUCGUAAAACUCUGUUAUUAGGGAAGAACAAAUGUGUAAGUAACUAUGCACGUCUUGACGGUAACUAAUAAGAAAGCCACGGCUAACUACGUG